rnacentral:rRNA from 1 species
CCCUACUGCUAUCGGGGUGGGACUAAGACAUGCGAGUCGAGCGUCUCCAGCUAUGGUGAGACGCGGCAGACGGCUCAGUAACACGUGGCUAACCUACCCUCAGGACAGGGACAAACCCGGGAAACUGGGGCUAAUACCCGAUAGGCGAGGGCGCCUGGAAUGGUUCUUCACCCAAAGGGCUUUGGAAGCAUGCUUUUCAAAGUCGCCUGGGGAUGGGGCCGCGUCCGAUCAGGUUGUUGGUGAGGUAACGGCUCACCAAGCCUAUAACCGGUACGGGCCGUGAGAGCGGUAGCCCGGAGAUGGGCACUGAGACAAGGGCCCAGGCCCUACGGGGCGCAGCAGUUGCGAAAACUCCGCAAUGCACGAAAGUGUGACGGGGCUACCCCGAGUGCCGUCCGCUGAGGAUGGCUUUUCUCCGCUGUAAGGAGGCGGAGGAAUAAGGAGAGGGCAAGACUGGUGUCAGCCGCCGCGGUAAUACCAGCUCUCCGAGUGGUAGGGAUGAUUAUUGGGCUUAAAGCGUCCGUAGCCGGCCUGGCAAGUCUUCCGUUAAAUCCAGCAACCUAAUUGUUGGGCUGCGGGGGAUACUGUUAGGCUAGGGGGCGGGAGAGGCCGACGGUAUUCUCGGGGUAGGGGUGAAAUCUUAUAAUCCCGAGAGGACCACCAGUGGCGAAGGCUGUCGGCUAGCACGCGCCUGACGGUGAGGGACGAAAGCUGGGGGAGCGAACCGGAUUAGAUACCCGGGUAGUCCCUGCUGUAAACGAUGCGAGCUAGGUGUUGGGGCGGCUACGAGCCGCUUCAGUGCCGCAGCGAAGGCGUUAAGCUCGCCGCCUGGGGAGUACGGCCGCAAGGCUGAAACUUAAAGGAAUUGGCGGGGGAGCACCACAAGGCGUGAAGCUUGCGGUUC